rnacentral:rRNA from 1 species
AUACGGGGGGUGCAAGCGUUAUUCGGAAUCACUGGGCGUAAAGGGCGCGCAGGCGGUUUGGUAAGUCAGAUGUGAAAGCCCGGGGCACAACCCCGGAAGUGCAUUUGAUACUGCCUGACUUGAGUAUGGGAGAGGGAAGUGGAAUUCCUGGUGUAGAGGUGAAAUUCGUAGAUAUCAGGAGGAACACCGGUGGCGAAGGCGACUUCCUGGACCAAUACUGACGCUGAGGCGCGAAGGCGUGGGGAGCAAACAGGAUUAGAAACCCUAGUAGUCC